GAUGAACGCUGGCGGCGUGCCUAAUACAUGCAAGUCGAGCGAACGGACGAGAAGCUUGCUUCUCUGAUGUUAGCGGCGGACGGGUGAGUAACACGUGGAUAACCUACCUAUAAGACUGGGAUAACUUCGGGAAACCGGAGAUAAUACCGGAUAAUAUUUUGAACCGCAUGGUUCAACAGUGAAAGACGGUCUUGCUGUCACUUAUAGAUGGAUCCGCGCUGCAUUAGCUAGUUGGUAAGGUAACGGCUUACCAAGGCAACGAUGCAUAGCCGACCUGAGAGGGUGAUCGGCCACACUGGAACUGAGACACGGUCCAGACUCCUACGGGAGGCAGCAGUAGGGAAUCUUCCGCAAUGGGCGAAAGCCUGACGGAGCAACGCCGCGUGAGUGAUGAAGGUCUUCGGAUCGUAAAACUCUGUUAUUAGGGAAGAACAUAUGUGUAAGUAACUGUGCACAUCUUGACGGUACCUAAUCAGAAAGCCACGGCUAACUACGUG
rnacentral:rRNA from 1 species